UACGGAGGGUGCAAGCGUUAUCCGGAUUCACUGGGUUUAAAGGGUGCGUAGGCGGACGAGGUAAGUCAGUGGUGAAAUCUCCGAGCUUAACUCGGAAACUGCCUUUGAUACUCUCUGUCUUGAAUAUGGUGGAGGUAAGCGGAAUAUGUCAUGUAGCGGUGAAAUGCUUAGAGAUGACAUAGAACACCUAUUGCGAAGGCAGCUUACUACGCCUAUAUUGACGCUGAGGCACGAAAGCGUGGGGAUCAAACAGG
rnacentral:rRNA from 1 species